AUUCCAUGAUGAGGGCAAUUCUUGAUCAUCAUGUUAAACCGUUCGAAGGCUUCAUGAAACAUCUCACCAAAUUGUUGUUGAAAACUUCUCAAUCCUUUUCUAGCAU
rnacentral:snoRNA from 1 species